rnacentral:misc_RNA from 1 species
GGCAUAGUAGCAGUAUCAAGGAACGAUCUUGAAUCAGGAACCUGAACAAAUAACUGAUUCUUUCGAGGAUCUUUUCGUUUCCUCUUUACCUUCAAUUCAGCAACCUUUCUCUUCAACGUCUCGCUAGGGCCAUAUUCACGAGACAAUGUAUGAACUUGUCUAUAGAAUUUGUGAAUACCCAACAUGAUUUACAUAUAGUGUGUGUAGGAGAUCAAAGGAUUCUGUUGUUUGCUGAAUGAUGUAUGUGGUGGGAGUCGUAGUUGAGUAUAUCUUCUGU